rnacentral:Y_RNA from 1 species
UGCUGAUCUGAGUGUGGUGAUGUUUACAACUAAUUGAUCACAACCAGUUCCGGAUUCUUUUGUUCCUUCUCCACUCCCACUGCUUCACUUGACUAGCCUUAA